UCCGGUUUGUCACCGGCAGUCUCCUUAGAGUUCCCACCAUUACGUGCUGGCAACUAAGGACAAGGGUUGCGCUCGUUACGGGACUUAACCCAACAUCUCACGACACGAGCUGACGACAGCCAUGCAGCACCUGUCACUGAGCUCCCGAAGGCACCAAGGUAUCUCUACCAAGUUCUCAGGAUGUCAAGAGUAGGUAAGGUUCUUCGCGUUGCGUCGAAUUAAACCACAUGCUCCACCGCUUGUGCGGGCCCCCGUCAAUUCAUUUGAGUUUUAAUCUUGCGACCGUACUCCCCAGGCGGUCUACUUAGUGCGUUAGCUGCGCCACUAAGAGCUCAAGGCUCCCAACGGCUAGUAGACAUCGUUUACGGCGUGGACUAC
rnacentral:misc_RNA from 1 species